GAUAACAAAAAAGGGAUAAAUGUACUAUUACGAAAGAAAGUGAGCUAAACAUUUAUAAUAGUACAUUGCAUACGUAGCAUAGUAUGUAUGAAAUAUAUGUUUAGGGGUGAUAGGCCUUUCAAGCGUUCUUAUAACUUGUUUCAUAUGAAAAGUAUUAAGUACCCAAACAAAUUUAAAAAGUUAAGCUUUUAAAUAACUAUUAAAAAUAUUUUUCCCCUGUAGUGUAGUGUAAUAGCUGUCUAUAUAACACCUUAACAUUAAGUAUAAUAGCUUAUAUUUUAUAAUAUGACAAUACGGAUUUCGUUAUUAUUUGAUAAUGUUAUUAUUAGUAGUAUUAAUAUAUAUGUUAAAGGAACUCGGCAAAUAACUGCUCAACUGUUUAUCAAAAACAUAGCUAUAUGAAUUAAUAUAUAGUUAUUUCUGCUCAAUGAUUUAAAUAGCCGCAGUACUCUGACUGUGCAAAGGUAGCAUAAUCAGUUGGCUUUUAAUUUAAGUCUGGCAUGAAUGAAAAUAUGGGUAGUAACUGUCUUAACACAUUUAUUUGAAAUUAUUAAACAAGUGCAAAUGCUUGUAGUAAAACAAUAGACGAGAAGACCCUAGAAACUUGCGUUCAGUUUUGUUGGGGCGACAGAGUUACAUUUAACUAGCUUUAUAAUACAUGGUAUGAGGUUGUAAGAAUAAGUUACUCUAGGGAUAACAGCAUAAUUUUACUAGUUUGUGACCUCGAUGUUGGACUAGGUACUAUACCCUUAAGGCAGGGGUAUAUUAUGCUCUGUUCGAGCAAAUUUCCCUACAUGAUCUGAGUUCAGACCGG
rnacentral:rRNA from 1 species